rnacentral:rRNA from 1 species
CACGUAGGGUGCGAGCGUUGUCCGGAAUUAUUGGGCGUAAAGAGCUCGUAGGCGGUUCGGUAAGUCGGGUGUGAAAACUUUGGGCUCAACCCAAAGCCUGCACUCGAUACUGCUGUGACUUGAGUCCGGUAGGGGAGUGGGGAAUUCCUGGUGUAGCGGUGGAAUGCGCAGAUAUCAGGAGGAACACCGGUGGCGAAGGCGCCACUCUGGGCCGGUACUGACGCUGAGGGAGCGAAAGCGUGGGGAGCGAACAGG